AUGCCUGCAAGCAUGAUCAGAACAGCGAGACCAACGACCAAGAAUUCAGGUAGGUGUAAAUGCAAACUGUGCAGCAUGCCAGCUCAGGAAUGCCUGAUGAAAGCUACAUGUAGCAGAUUACCAUCUACCAUCUUCCUCCAAACCCAUUUUAUGAUUGGGAUUACAGGCAGUUCUUUAGGACUGCUCUCAAAUAAUUGAAAUGUUACGAAACAAGAUUAUACUUGUCAAAUUAAAUAGCUCUGGACUCCAGUAUAUUGGCGAAUUCAGUUCUUUGUACUUAAUUUAUUAGCAUGAUUUCUUUUUAAUAUGUUGUGUACAGACUUAAUUACUUCUCUGUCUACUUUUCUUACUCCAUGUAGGUUUCCCAGAGACUAUGGGUUGAGGAGGAAGUGGAAGUUUGUCUGCAUAGACCUGGUGUCAUUCCAUCAGUGUUAAACUUCCCGGCUCAUCUUGGAAGAGUACGUGCCAGAAAGACCACGACCAAGAAGCCUUGAGAUCUUAGACAGCGUCUCCCUCAGGUCCCUCUCUAUCUCCCACACAUCCACCAACCACUGGAACACAUCUCCAAAGUUCUGCCGGGCCAGCUCAGCUUCCCCUCAGAAGAAGUUCCACCAGAUGAAGGAGCCUUUUGAGAGGCAGCUGGCAUCGUGAUUGGACUGUACUUUGGUCUGUUCCAAUCCAGCUUCAGCUCCAGAGACGGCAGGCAGGACGAGUCAACGGAGGCCUGGUGGACGAAGGCAUGCAGCUGAGUACAAUCCAGAAAACAACAGAGGAGGAGUGCAGCAGCCCAGAGCCAGAACAAACAGAGUAGCAUCGUAUGUCUCUUAGAAAACAUCAUAGUAUAGCCUCUGGUAUGAAAAAACGACAUCAUAUACAUUGUAUAUUGUACAUAUAACAAGUCAAAGGAAAGAGACAUACAUUGUAGAAUUGUAGUAAUUGUGGACUGACUGAUUUACUGAUUAUCAGUAUUUUAUUUUUUACUGAUUUACGGUAAUAAAUACAUUUAAAAAUGGU